UUCUCUUCCUUCUUACUUUUAUUUAUCCAUGAUAUCUACUAACAAUGUUAGCUGUUCUUGAUUACUUUUUGUUCUGAGAAAUUUUCAUAUUAGUAUGUGCUAUUGUGUAUAAGUUCAGUUUAGUAUACCAUAUAAUCUGAACAUAUAAUGACUGGUUUUGUCUUAUUUAAAUUUGAGAAGCACGAAUGUUAAGAAGUUAGAUAAUUGUCUACUCGAAUAUUACAAUCUUCGAAUGACAAAUCAGCAUGACCGACAGACUUUCAUUUUUGUCGUUUGUAUUCUAUAACCAUGCAACUUCUUAGAGCACUAAGAUAGAGAUGAAAACAGGUAAACAUCAUCUACACCUGUCUGCGUACCCUAGAAAGUGAAACCAAUUGAUCACUCAUUGGAGUUAAAUUUCGAUGAACUGCAGAUCAGGAACAACGCAAGCAUCCCAGGGGCUUCACAGUCAGAAUAAUCUGCGCCAAAAAACAUGAUAAGCGAUAGCACCUCUAUCAGGAGUAGGACAACCAUUCCAAAGACUUUACAUUCAGCACUGCAUGUGCCGGAAGAUAUAAUAGGUAGUACUAAGAUAUAGCUAGCUGUGUAUUGCACGCAAAAGAUAAUUGUACUAUUACAUAUGCCUACUAAUGUAUAGACAUAUCACGCUAAUGCUACAUUUAUAUAUAUAUUAAUGUCAUCCUACCUUAAUCUAA